rnacentral:rRNA from 1 species
UGUAAGCGUAUACCAAAGUUGUUGCAGUUAAAACGCUCGUAGUCGGAAUUUGGCAGUUCCGGAUGUGUGCACGUCGUGUGCGCGCUUCGCGGGGAUUGCUUUUGUGGUCUUGCGUAGGAUGAGGCACUUUUAUUAGUGAACGUCCUCACGCAACCACUUUUUACUGUGAGAAAAUCAGAGUGCUCAAAGCAGGCAUUUGCCGUGAAUGUAUUAGCAUGGAAUAAUAGAAUAGGACUUGGUUCUAUUUUGUUGGUUUGUUGGGACUGAGUAAUGAUUAAGAGGGACAGUUGGGGGCAUUUGUAUUUCGGUGCUAGAGGUGAAAUUCUUAGAUUACCGAAAGACAAACUGCUGCGAAAGCGUCUGCCAAGGAUGUUUUCAUUGA